AAGUCGUAACAAGGUUUCCGUAGGUGAACCUGCGGAAGGAUCAUUACCAAUAAUUAAAAUUCUAACCCAUGUGCACUAUGGAAUAGUCCUGGUUUUUGGGGUGUGCUUUAGUGGUUCACCCCAACCAUUUUGCUAAACUACUGUUUAUAUUUUCAUGGCAUCAUAAAUUGUCUUAAUAAAUAUAUGACAACUUUUAACGGUGGAUCUCUUGGCUCGUG
rnacentral:misc_RNA from 1 species